CACGAGGUCAAGCCCGAGGGCUACGAGGUGGCCCACGAUGGCCGCUGUGUCACCGUCUUCUCCGCCCCCAACUACUGGUGAGGGACCCCAGGGGACACUUGGGGACACGGCCGUGGUCCCCUGGGUGUCACCUGGGCCGCGUUGUCCCCGCGGUUUUGUCACCAAAUGUCCCCAAAUGUCCCAUCCCUGGUGGUUCCUCAGCCUUGGUGGCCCAUGGGGGUUGUGCUCUGAUGUCCCCAGGUGUCCCCAGAUGUCCCCAGGUGUCCCCAGAUGUCCCCAAGUGUUCCCAAGUGUCCCCCAAUGUCCCCAAGUGUCCCCAGGUGUCCCCAGAUGUCCCCAGAUAUCCCCAAGUGUCCCCAGAUGUCCCCAAGUGUCCCAUCCCUGGUGGUUCCCCAGCUCAGUGACCCAUGAGUGCCAUGCUCUGGUGUCCCCAGGUGUCCCCAGAUGUCCCCAGAUGUCCCCAGAUGUCCCCAGAUGUCCCCAAGUGUCCCCAGAUGUCCCCAGAUGUCCCCAAGUGUCCCCCAGAUGUCCCCAAGUGUCCCCAAAUGUUCCAUCCCUGGUGGUUCCCCACCCUUGGUGACCCACGGGGGUUGUGCUGUGAUGGCCCCAGAUGUCCCCCAGGUGUCCCCCAAUGUCCCCA
rnacentral:lncRNA from 1 species